rnacentral:rRNA from 1 species
AUGGAGGCUUGGAGGCGUUCCGUCGAACAGGUGCUGGGCGCCAGAACAGCUGCCCCCACACACCCAAACCAGAGCCAACCUCGCACGCAGCAAGCCGCCACGAAACAAGAACGGCACGCGGAAAACGCGGAGACACCGGAUUCUACGGCGAGAGAAGCACAAGAAUCACCUUCGCUUCUCCUGAGGCCGCCUCCACCGCCACCGCCGUCGAUGGGAGAAGCCCACCGCGGAGACCGACCUGGCGCGAAACAGCCGUCCGCAGGCGCUAGUCGGAGCUCGAGCGUCAGCCAGCCGACGGACCGGUCGAACCCUCCCCUGCACGCACCGGCGGCGGAAGAGUCGCGGCUGCCGACGACACCGGUGUCAGCGGCGGACGAACCGGAGGCAGCGGGAGGAAAGGAAAGAAAAGAAUUGACGCGCCGGUCGCGGGACCCUCGCGGCUUUACUUCCUUUCCUUUCUGGGUCGCCAGGCUAAACAGGCCCGCAACUACCGAACACCGGCCCGGCCUGCAAUACGACCCUAGCUGGGCCGCCUCGGAUAGAUUCUUCUUUUCCGCCGUCCGUAGCCCAUAG